rnacentral:rRNA from 1 species
UACGGGGGAGCAAGCGUUGUUCGGAUUUACUGGGCGUAAAGGGCGCGUAGGCGGCCUCCGCAAGUCACUUGUGAAAUCUCCGGGCUUAACUCGGAAAGGUCAACUGAUACUGCGGGGCUAGAGUGCGGAAGGGGCAACUGGAAUUCUUGGUGUAGCGGUGAAAUGCGUAGAUAUCCGGAGGAACACCGGUGGCGAAGGCGGCUUCCUGGACCGACACUGACGCUGAGGCGCGAAAGCUAGGGGAGCAAACGGG